AACAUAAGAACCGUUCAAUAUUUCUUCACCAAACUUGGCACAAAGAUAGGUCUGGUGGAGCCUUUUGGUAGUCUUGGAUUUCUGAAUUUAAUAUUGUUUGCGUUUCCAUGGCAACAAGUUUGACUUCGAUUGGUGUUGUUUUUUCCGAAGCAGAACUUUCAAACCGUUUAUCAUUUCUUCACCAAACAUGGCACAAAGAUAGGUCUGGUUGUGAACUACUGCCAAUUCCAAUCUC